rnacentral:ncRNA from 1 species
GAUCGCGUCUGCAGGGAAAUUCCCGGUCGGGCUGAGAUUAUACUGUCAUAACUUGAUCCAGAUAAUACUGGCGAAAGGACAUGCGUGGCUUUGACCC